AGAUUGAACGCUGGCGGCAGGCCUAACACAUGCAAGUCGAGCGGAUGAAGAGAGCUUGCUCUCUGAUUCAGCGGCGGACGGGUGAGUAAUGCCUAGGAAUCUGCCUGGUAGUGGGGGACAACGUUUCGAAAGGAACGCUAAUACCGCAUACGUCCUACGGGAGAAAGCGAGGGGACCUUCGGGCCUUGCGCUAUCAGAUGAGCCUAGGUCGGAUUAGCUAGUUGGUGAGGUAAUGGCUCAACCAAGGCGACGAUCCGUAAUGGCUGAGAGGAUGAUCAGUCACGCUGGAACUGAGACGACGGUCCAGACUCCGUACGGGAGCAGCAGGUGGGAAUAGUGGACAGUGGGAC
rnacentral:rRNA from 1 species